UUUGAGAGAGCUGCUCCAUGUUGGACAUAAGCUGCUCCAUCAGGUAGGAGGAGUUGGCAACUUCAAACUUUAGUUCUUGCUGGCCUAGCUCAAGUUUCACUGAGAAGGACUGCUUCAGGUCGUCAAUCUUGUUAGAGAGGGCUUGGAUUUGUUCUUCAUUUGCCUUCUGAACUUGUAGAGCUUCAGCCUUUUGAUCUUGGAUGGCCUUCUG
rnacentral:lncRNA from 1 species